GGAUAUAUAUGUCUCUGGCUAAAUACCUUGGUUUAAGAGAACAACGUUCAGUCAGAAAUAGAUAGAUAGAUGUGUGUUGUGCCAGGUGAUUUCCAUCUGCACUAACGCCUUGCGUUUAUAUAGGCAAACCUCAGAGUGCCACCACGUACGCUUUCUUUCUUUUUUGAUAUUUUUCUUUGGAAAAUUCUGCUGUGUUUUAUUCCUUUCUUAUUUUACUUUAUUCCUUUUUCUUUGCUUUAAUUUAUUCCUUUCUUAUUCUGGCUUUGAUAUUGGCAGCUGGUCGCUGGAAGAGUUGGUCUUGGCCCAUACUGGACUAAAGACAUCACAGUACGUGUUUGUUGGUCAUCAAUUUCCAUUAUUUUACUACGUACGAUUAAUUAUUUUGCAACUGCAAAUCGCUAACAAAUAAUAUACUUAUCACAUGUAUCACAAUCCUAAGAUUUAAACGAUUAGUUAUUGAUAUAAUGAUAUUCAUCAUCAUUUAUAACCGUGAGAUUUAAAUGACGACAUCUUCUUCUUUUUUUUAAUUUUUAAUUAAUAACUCACACACCUUACAUACAUAUGUCGUGAGGUUUGAACCCAUGACCUCAAAAUUAUCAAUUAAACACUUUAAUCAACCAAAUCACGACUCACAGUCUUUAAACGACGACAUAUAAUUGUUCUUAAGGUUUUAUCUUCUUCUUUUUCACGUUGAAAUGUAUGGAAUUAAGCGGCUAAUGUGCAUGGAAUUACAUUAGCUAGAUUGCUUGGGCAUUUUGUUGGCGCUAAUUUAUAGU
rnacentral:lncRNA from 1 species